CGGGUGCACUGAUCCAGCCGGGCCUUUCCCUCUGUGGAACCCCAUGGCCUUCACUGGCUGUGGUGGGGAAACAGGACUUUUACUUUGAAAAAAUUAGAGUGCUCCAGGCAGGCCUAUGCUCGAAUACAUUAGCAUGGAAUAAUAGAAUAGGACGUGUGGUUCUAUUUUGUUGGUUUCUAGGACCGCCGUAAUGAUUAAUAGGGACAGUCGGGGGCAUCAGUAUUCAAUUGUCAGAGGUGAAAUUCUUGGAUCUAUUGAAGACUAACUACUGCGAAAGCAUUUGCCAAGGAUGUUUUCAUUGAUAAGGAACGAAAGUUAGGGGAUCGAAGACGAUCAGAUACCGUCGUAGUCUUAACUAUAAACUAUGCCGACUAGGGAUCGGACGAUGUUAUUCUUUGACGCGUUCGGCACCUUUCGAGAAAUCAAAGUGCUUGGGCUCCAGGGGGAGUAUGGUCGCAAGGCUGAAACUUAAAGAAAUUGACGGAAGGGCACCACCAGGGGUGGAACCUGCGGCUUAAUUUGACUCAACACGGGGAAACUCACCAGGUCCAGACACAGUGAGGAUUGACAGAUUGAGAGCUCUUUCUUGAUUCUGUGGGUGGUGGUGCAUGGGCCGUUCUUAGUUGGUGGAGUGAUUUGUCUGCUUAAUUGCGAUAACGAACGAGACCUUAACCUGCUAAAUAGCCCGUACUGCUUUGGCAGUUCGCCGGCUUCUUAGAGGGACUAUCGG
rnacentral:rRNA from 1 species